UACGGGGGGGGCAAGCGUUGUUCGGAAUUACUGGGCGUAAAGGGCUGGUAGGCGGCCAACUAAGUCGGAUGUGAAAUCCCCGGGCUUAACCUGGGAACUGCAUUUGUGACUGCAUCGCUGGAGUGCGGCAGAGGGGGAUGGAAUUCCGCGUGUAGCAGUGAAAUGCGUAGAUAUGCGGAGGAACACCGAUGGCGAAGGCAAUCCCCUGGGCCUGCACUGACGCUCAUGCACGAAAGCGUGGGGAGCAAACAGG
rnacentral:rRNA from 1 species